CCUACGGGCGGCAGCAGUGAGGAAUAUUGGUCAAUGGACGAGAGUCUGAACCAGCCAAGUAGCGCGAAGGAUGACUGCCCUAUGGGUUGUAAACUUCUUUUAUAUGGGAAUAAAAUGUUCCACGUGUGGGAUUUUGUAUGUACCAUAUGAAUAAGGAUCGGCUAACUCCGUGCCAGCAGCCGCGGUAAUACGGAGGAUCCGAGCGUUAUCCGGAUUUAUUGGGUUUAAAGGGAGCGUAGGUGGAUUGUUAAGUCAGUUGUGAAAGUUUGCGGCUCAACCGUAAAAUUGCAGUUGAAACUGGCAGUCUUGAGUACAGGAGAGGUGGGCGGAAUUCGUGGUGUAGCGGUGAAAUGCUUAGAUAUCACGAAGAACUCCGAUGGCGAAGGCAGUUCACUGGACUGCAACUGACACUGAGGCUCGAAAGUGUGGGUAUCAAACAGGAUUAGAUACCCCGGUAGUC
rnacentral:rRNA from 1 species